rnacentral:rRNA from 1 species
GAGCGAACGCUGGCGGCAGGCUUAACACAUGCAAGUCGAGCGGGCGUAGCAAUACGUCAGCGGCAGACGGGUGAGUAACGCGUGGGAACAUACCUUUUGGUUCGGAACAACACAGGGGAAACUUGUGCUAAUACCGAAUAAGCCCUUACGGGGAAAGAUUUAUCGCCGAAAGAUUGGCCCGCGUCUGAUUAGCUUGUUGGUGAGGUAACGGCUCACCAAGGCGACGAUCAGUAGCGGUCUGAGAGGAUGAUCAGCCACAUUGGGACUGAGACACGGCCCAAACUUCUACGGGAGGCAGCAGUGGGGAAUAUUGGACAAUGGGCGCAAGCCUGAUCCAGCCAUGCCGCGUGAGUGAUGAA